rnacentral:rRNA from 1 species
AUUGAACGCUGGCGGCAGGCCUAACACAUGCAAGUCGAGCGAGCGGCGGACGGGUGAGUAAUGUCUGGGAAACUGCCUGAUGGAGGGGGAUAACUACUGGAAACGGUAGCUAAUACUGCAUACCACCAGAUGUGGCCAGAUGGGAGUAGCUAGUAGGUGGGGUAACGGCUAACCUAGGCGACGAUCCCUAGCUGGUCUGGGAGGAUGAUCAGUCACACUGGAACUGAGACACGGUCCAGACUCCUACGGGAGGCAGCAGUGGGGAAUAUUGCACAAUGGGCGCAAGCCUGAUGCAGCCAUGCCGCGUGUGUGAAGAAGGCCUUCGGGUUGUAAAGCACUUUCAGCGGGGAGGCGUUACCCGCAGAAGAAGCACCGGCUAACUCCGUGCCAGCAGCCGCGGUAAUUC